UGGGGAAUAUUGCACAAUGGGCGAAAGCCUGAUGCAGCGACGCCGCGUGAGGGAUGACGGCCUUCGGGUUGUAAACCUCUUUCAGCAGGGAAGAAGCGAAAGUGACGGUACCUGCAGAAGAAGCGCCGGCUAACUACGUGCCAGCAGCCGCGGUAAUACGUAGGGCGCAAGCGUUGUCCGGAAUUAUUGGGCGUAAAGAGCUCGUAGGCGGUUAGUCGCGUCUGCUGUGAAAACUCGAGGCCCAACCUCGGGCUUGCAGUGGGUACGGGCUGACUAGAGUGCGGUAGGGGUGACUGGAAUUCCUGGUGUAGCGGUGGAAUGCGCAGAUAUCAGGAGGAACACCGAUGGCGAAGGCAGGUCACUGGGCCGCAACUGACGCUGAGGAGCGAAAGCAUGGGGAGCGAACAGGAUUAGAUACCCUGGUAGUCCAUGCCGUAAACGUUGGGCACUAGGUGUGGGGUCCAUUCCACGGAUUCCGUGCCGCAGC
rnacentral:rRNA from 1 species